UCUUCCAGUUCGUCAACUUCUACUCCUCACCCAUCUACAUUGCCUUCUUCAAGGGCAGGUUUGUGGGAUACCCAGGCAACUACCACACCUUGUUUGGAGUCCGCAACGAGGACGUAAGUGUGCCUGAGGCCCGGGGCUGGUGGAUAAGCUGUGUGCUUCCUCUUGCUUCCAUUUGAGCUUCGAUUUGCAGCAACUCCUCCUGCCACCGGCUGCUUCAUCGCCCAGCCAGGGCCAGCUGUGCAGCUGACCACUCAGGGCUCCCAGCCUCUCUUCACCACUUAUUCUGACCCCCAAUAUGCCCCAUUCAGAGCCACACCCAAAACACUCCAGGCCAGGCACAGUGGCUCACACCUGU
rnacentral:sRNA from 1 species